GAUGAACGCUGGCGGCGUGCCUAAUACAUGCAAGUCGAGCGAACAGACGAGGAGCUUGCUCCUCUGACGUUAGCGGCGGACGGGUGAGUAACACGUGGAUAACCUACCUAUAAGACUGGGAUAACUUCGGGAAACCGGAGCUAAUACCGGGUAAUAUAUUGAACGGCAUGGUUCAAUAGUGAAAGACGGUUUUGCUGUCUCUUAUAGAUGGAUCCGCGCCGCAUUAGCUAGUUGGUAAGGUAACGGCUUACCAAGGCAACGAUGCGUAGCCGACCUGAGAGGGUGAUCGGCCACACUGGAACUGAGACGCGGUCCAGACUCCUACGGGAGGCAGCAGUAGGGAAUCUUCCGCAAUGGGCGAAAGCCUGACGGAGCAACGCCGCGUGAGUGAUGAAGGUCUUCGGAUCGUAAAACUCUGUUAUUAGGGAAGAACAAAUGUGUAAGUAACUAUGCACGUCUUGACGGUACCUAAUCAGAAAGCCACGGCUAACUACGUG
rnacentral:rRNA from 1 species